rnacentral:rRNA from 1 species
AGUGAACGCUGGCGGUAGGCCUAACACAUGCAAGUCGAACGGCAGCACAGUAAGAGCUUGCUCUUACGGGUGGCGAGUGGCGGACGGGUGAGGAAUACAUCGGAAUCUACUUUUUCGUGGGGGAUAACGUAGGGAAACUUACGCUAAUACCGCAUACGACCUACGGGUGAAAGAAGGGGAUCUUCGGACCUUGCGCGAUUGAAUGAGCCGAUGUCGGAUUAGCUAGUUGGCGGGGUAAAGGCCCACCAAGGCGACGAUCCGUAGCUGGUCUGAGAGGAUGAUCAGCCACACUGGAACUGAGACACGGUCCAGACUCCUACGGGAGGCAGCAGUGGGGAAUAUUGGACAAUGGGCGCAAGCCUAAUCCAGCCAUACCGCGUGGGUGAAGAAGGCCUUCGGGUUGUAAAGCCCUUUUGUUGGGAAAGAAAAGCAGCAGGUUAAUACCCCGCUGUUCUGACGGUACCCAAAGAAUAAGCACCGGCUAACUUCGUG